GGACCAUAGAUCAGUGGUACAGCAGCUGCCCUGUCUGCAGUGAGGUCCCAGGUUCAAUUCCUGGCAUCUCCA